UACGGAGGGUGCAAGCGUUAUCCGGAUUCACUGGGUUUAAAGGGUGCGUAGGAGGGCAGGUAAGUCAGUGGUGAAAUCUCCAAGCUUAACUUGGAAACUGCCGUUGAUACUAUCUGUCUUGAAUGUUGUGGAGGUGAGCGGAAUAUGUCAUGUAGCGGUGAAAUGCUUAGAUAUGACAUAGAACACCAAUUGCGAAGGCAGCUCACUACACAAUUAUUGACUCUGAGGUACGAAAGCGUGGGGAUCAAACAGG
rnacentral:rRNA from 1 species